rnacentral:rRNA from 1 species
GACGAACGCUGGCGGCGUGCUUAACACAUGCAAGUCGAACGGAAAGGCCCUGCUUUUGUGGGGUGCUCGAGUGGCGAACGGGUGAGUAACACGUGAGUAACCUGCCCUUGACUUUGGGAUAACUUCAGGAAACUGGGGCUAAUACCGGAUAGGAGCUCCUGCUGCAUGGUGUGGGUUGGAAAGUUUCGGCGGUUGGGGAUGGACUCGCGGCUUAUCAGCUUGUUGGUGGGGUAGUGGCUUACCAAGGCUUUGACGGGUAGCCGGACUGAGAGGGUGACCGGCCACAUUGGGACUGAGAUACGGCCCAGACUCCUACGGGAGGCAGCAGUGGGGAAUAUUGCACAAUGGGCGGAAGCCUGAUGCAGCAACGCCGCGUGCGGGAUGACGGCCUUCGGGUUGUAAACCGCUUUCGCCUGUGACGAAGCGUGAGUGACGGUAAUGGGUAAAGAAGCACCGGCUAACUACGUG